ensembl:lncRNA
GUCUCUCUGAACUGUAAAACCAGCAGAAAUGUGUAUCAAUGUCACGUUCAUCGUAUGAAGAAGACCAAACUCCAUUCUGCUUGUUUAUGUUUUAUCUGUCGGCCCCAGCCGCACUCAGGCUCUGUGUGUAGUUAAUCCGACCCUCCCUGCCUAGUCAAUGCCAUUUUUACCUGCUGUUGUUGUGCUAGCUGAUUAGCUGUUGUUGUCUCACCUACUGUUUUAGCUACUGUUUUAGCUAGCUCUCCCAAUUCAACACCUGUGAUUACUGUAUGCCUCACUGUAUGUCUCUCUCAAAUGUCAAUAUGCCUUGUAUACUGUUGUUCAGGUUAGUUAUCAUUGUUUUAGUUUACAAUGGAGCCCCUAGUUCCACUCUUCAUACCCCUGAGACCUCCUUUGUCCCACCUCCCACACAUGCGGUGACCUCACCCAUUACAACCAGCAUGUCCAGAGAUACAACCUCUCUCAUCAUCACCCAGUGCCUGGGCUUACCUCCGCUGUACCCGCACCCCACCAUACCCCUGUCUGCGCAUUAUGCCCUGAAUAUAUUCUACCAUGCCCAGAAAUCUGCUCCUUUUAUUCUCUGUCCCCAACGCUCUAGGCGACCAGUUUUGAUAGCCUUUAGCCGCACCCUCAUACUACUUCUCCUCUGUUCCGCGGGUGAUGUGGAGGUAAACCCAGGCCCUGCAUGUCCCCAGGCACCCUCAUUUGUUGACUUCUGUGAUCGAAAAAGCCUUUGUUUCAUGCAUGUCAACAUCAGAAGCCUCCUCCCUAAGUUUGUUUUACUCACUGCUUUAGCACACUCUGCUAACCCUGAUGUCCUUGCCGUGUCUGAAUCCCGGCUCAGGAAGGCCACCAAAAAUUCUGAGAUUUCCAUACCCAACUAUAACAUUUUCCGUCAAGACAGAACUGCCAAAGGGGGAGGAGUUGCAGUCUACUGCAGAGAUAGCCUGCAAAGUAAUGUCAUACUUUCCAGGUCCAUACCCAAACAGUUCGAACUACUAAUUCUGAAAAUUACUCUCUCCAGAAAUAAGUCUCUCACUGUUGCCGCCUGCUACCGACCCCCCUCAGCUCCCAGCUGUGCCCUGGACACCAUUUGUGAAUUGAUCGCCCCCCAUCUAGCUUCAGAGUUUGUUCUGUUAGGUGACCUAAACUGGGAUAUGCUUAACACCCCGGCAGUCCUACAAUCUAAGCUAGAUGCCCUCAAUCUCACACAAAUCAUCAAGGAACCCACCAGGUACAACCCUAAAUCUGUAAACAAGGGCACCCUCAUAGACGUCAUCCUGACCAACUGGCCCUCCAAAUACACCUCCGCUGUCUUCAACCAGGAUCUCAGCGAUCACUGCCUCAUUGCCUGUAUCCGCUACGGAGCCGCAGUCAAACGACCACCCCUCAUCACUGUCAAACGCUCCCUAAAACACUUCUGUGAGCAGGCCUUUCUAAUCGACCUGGCCCGGGUAUCCUGGAAGGACAUUGACCUCAUCCCGUCAGUUGAGGAUGCCUGGUCAUUCUUUAAAAGUAACUUCCUCACCAUUUUAGACAAGCACGCUCCGUUCCAAAAAUGCAGAACUAAGAACAGAUAUAGCCCUUGGUUCACUCCAGACCUGACUGCCCUCGACCAGCACAAAAACAUCCUGUGGCGGACUGCAAUAGCACCGAAUAGUCCCCGCGAUAUGCAACUGUUCAGGGAAGUCAGGAACCAAUACACGCAGUCAGUCAGGAAAGCUAAGGCCAGCUUCUUCAGGCAGAAGUUUGCAUCCUGUAGCUCCAACUCCAAAAAGUUCUGGGACACUGUGAAGUCCAUGAAGAACAAGAGCACCUCCUCCCAGCUGCCCACUGCACCGAGGCUAGGUAACACGGUCACCACCGAUAAAUCCAUGAUUAUCGAAAACUUCAACAAGCAUUUCUCAACGGCUGGCCAUGCCUUCCGCCUGGCUACUCCAACCUCGGCCAACAGCUCCACCCCCCCCGCAGCUACUCGCCCAAGCCUCUCCAGGUUCUCCUUUACCCAAAUCCAGAUGUUCUGAAAGAGCUGCAAAACCUGGACCCGUACAAAUCAGCUGGGCUUGACAAUCUGGACCCUCUAUUUCUGAAACUAUCCGCCGCCAUUGUCGCAACCCCUAUUACCAGCCUGUACAACCUCUCUUUCAUAUCCUUGAGAUCCCCAAGGAUUGGAAAGCUGCCGCAGUCAUCCCCCUCUUCAAAGGGGGAGACACCCUGGACCCAAACUGUUACAGACCUAUAUCCAUCCUGCCCUGCCUAUCUAAGGUCUUCGAAAGCCAAGUCAACAAACAGGUCACUGACCAUCUCGAAUCCCACCGUACCUUCUCCGCUGUGCAAUCUGGUUUCCGAGCCGGUCACGGGUGCACCUCAGCCACGCUCAAGGUACUAAACGAUAUCAUAACCGCCAUCGAUAAAAGACAGUACUGUGCAGCCGUCUUCAUCGACCUUGCCAAGGCUUUCGACUCUGUCAAUCACCAUAUUCUUAUCGGCAGACUUAG